rnacentral:rRNA from 1 species
GAACGAGAAAGCGGGGGCAACUCCGCGAGUAAAGUGGCGACCGGGUGAGUAACACGUGACUAACCUACCCUCGAGCGGGGGAUAACCCCGGGAAACCGGGGCUAAUACCGCAUAACAUCCUCGAUACGAAAGUCUUGAGGAUCAAAGGAGCAAUUCACUUGAGGAGGGGGUCGCGGCCGAUUAGCUAGUUGGUGGGGUAAUGGCCCACCAAGGCUGAGAUCGGUAGCCGGUCUGAGAGGACGACCAGCCACACGGGGACUGAGACACGGCCCCGACUCCUACGGGAGGCAGCAGUGAGGAAUCUUCCGCAAUGGGCGAAAGCCUGACGGAGCGACGCCGCGUGUGGGAUGAAGUCUCUACGGGAUGUAAACCACUGUCGGAGGGGAAGAGAACGGACGGUACCCUCCAAGAAAGCCCCGGCUAACUACGUGCCAGCAGCCGCGGUAAU